rnacentral:tRNA from 1 species
UCCCUGAUGGUCCAGUGGUUAAGACUCUGAGUUCCCAAUGCAAGGGAGCCUGGGUUCGAUCCCUGAUCAGGGAA